rfam:Parcubacteria bacterium GW2011_GWC2_42_11 TT89_C0034, whole genome shotgun sequence.
GGAGAGUUGGCUGAGUGGUCGAAAGCGCCUCACUGCUAACGAGGUGUCCUUAACCGGACCGUGGGUUCGAAUCCCACACUCUCCG